rnacentral:lncRNA from 1 species
GUGUUUUGCUGGAUGAAGACAGGAGCUCCUAGGAAAAAAGGCAUGUAUGCAGACACAGACAUGUUCCUGAUGGAAACACUGAGGUUUUCAAAAAGGAGAAAGGGCAGAAUUUCCACAGGCUGCAACAGCAUUACUCCACUGCAGCAAAACCAACAAUGAAAUUCGCCACACAGUUGGGAGUCUGAGAAGCUGCCAUCUAAAAGGUAUGGCCUUACUCCAUUCAAAGAACUAUUAGAAAAUUCUUCUCCAAUACAGGAGGAGAGCAUUUCUAGGGAAAACUGUUAGAAUAUGGCAUUAGCAGGACUAUUUUUCCUAAACCUAACUGUGACAUGGUGGAAGGGGGGCAAUUUACACUGUGACUGCGGCAGGAGGCCAUGGUUGGAGGCAGUACGCAGAGCCAUCCCAAGCCAUUUUGCUGCUGGAGGCAAAACAGAAAAUAGCACCCCACCCAGCCGCCUCCCUCUCUUACCGGAGUGAGCUCACCCACAGUUAGUUAGAAUCCCACACAGUUGUCACCACUGCCGAUCUGUGGCUGUUUAAAUCAAUAAAUGUGGCGGCCAUUCACCCAGCCUUGUGGCUAGCCUAUCGUCUUAUUGUUUCCCUGUGAGGUUGCAAUUAGUGUCAUGUAAAGUUGAGCCCCUAUGUAGAUUUCUGGUCGUGAAAAGGAGGUGAGCCCAGACUAUGGUUUUUCGUUAAAUCCUUUUACUGUACCCGUAGCUUUGUUCCUCUGCAACGUUCCUUGCUGCUGCAGAGGUAAGUCUUUCUGUGGGUUCUGUUGCAGAAAUACAUUGUCUGCAUGUUUUUCAAUGCAAUCAUACUGCAUCAUGAUUUUGUAGUCACAAGAGGGCAUAAAUACUUUGCUGUUCUGCUUGCAUAUUUGGCUUGGAAUCAACACCAAAAAAAUUAACCUUAACAUAAAAAAUUAUACCUAUUUUGAAAACAUUUUGUCGUCCAAGAGUGCAGAUUUGGCUUUUAGGUCAUACUCAUGCUUGGUCUCAGAAGCUAAAAUAUAAUGAACAUGCUUAUAAUUUAGGGGGCAGGUUAGGUAAUGUGGAAAGAAAAAUACAAUGAGAAUAUAUAGUCAUCAUUCAUACUACUGUGUCAACAAUAUAACUUUUCCCUGUGAGAAAUGGUUACAGCCUUUAGGGGAGUAUACUACAGCAUACCCAACAACUGUCCUGGAAAAUGGGACGUCCCAAUUUUUCUCACAAGCAGAUGGGGGCCAAAAUGCCUGCAGCAAUCUUAUUCUAUUUCAGACUGCACUCUUGCCCUGAAAAAAGUGCUUUUGGGGGGCAACAAUCUUGCACACCACCCCAAAACAUGUGCAAGAUUCCACCUCCCAAAAAAACCUUGUGCCACAAUCUCGUGUGGGUCACAUGACACACAUGGGAGUGAGAGCCCAGAAGAUAGCACCCUGGUUUGGGGACACUUUGUAUUGGAAGGUAUGAUAAAGGUGUAUAAGAUUAUGUCUUGUGUAGAGAAGGUAAAUAGUUUUUAUUGCUCUCUCUUAAGGCUGGAACGUGGGGGCCAUCCAAUGACAAUGCACGUUGGGAGAUUCACAGCAGACAAAAG